AAACACAAUGCAAUAAUUUUGUUAUUUUUAUGGAGGGACUGUCUUCUUCCACUGUCCGAGCCUUUUAUAUUUUCUCCAGGACCAAGUUUGAGUUGGUGCACUGCCAUCCCUGCAACUCUUUACUUCUUCUCUUUCAUUUUUCCUUUGUACUCAGUCCUUUUUGCUCGAGAUUGUCGAUGAAGAGAUUACUCUUCGCAGCGUGGUUUAAGUGAUCUCUUCGUGCCGCCAUUUAAUGCUGGUCCUGUCGAUGAGCUGCGUGAGGAAGAUGAUGAAGAACACUCCAAUUUCCUAUAAAAGCAGGAAUUUCUUGCAGGAGGCCAUGCAAAUGAUGCAUCACUGAGACAGCUUGAGACUGCAAAAAUGAGAGGCGCAAAGAACAAGAAGAAGACAUGGAUAAGAGCUCUCUCCCAGCUGCUCUUCAAUUGCAGACAUACGAAGAAGAAGAAGAAGAAGAGUGAGGAAGAGGAAGAAGAAGCGCCAUUGAAGGCCAAGGCAUUGAAGCUUUCAGGAGUAGAGAAGAGGCCAUGGCUAUCAGGUUCAUUUGGUGAGCUUCGCCACAAAAUGGGGCUGUCUUCUUCUUCUUCUUCUUCAGUGUCUCUCUCUUUCUGCUUCACCCCUGCAGAGGCAGGAGAGACCGAGGUGUCCUACAGGAGCUUGGGGCGCCAGAGCCAUGCCAUUGGAGCUCAAGCUUUUGGACCAAUCUAUCUGGUGACAUAAGGCAGAAGAUAAAUGUCAGAUCAAGUGCAAGAGAAUUCAAUUUUAGGUUCUUUUCCUCGUGGUUUUUCUGAACACUAAAGUUUCCGCCUGUGUUAGUUUGAUCUUAGGUUCAAAAUCUUGAAUCGUGCUAAAGUUUCGAUUUUUGAUUGGAAGACUGGAAAUUAUAUUAUUUUGGUAU